CCCGCUCUCGUCCAAUCAGGAGAGUCCAACGCGGCAGCGCGCACCCGCCGCUCUCCGGCAAGUAAUGAAUGAAGAUAGUUGCUAUGGCAACUGCAAUGGAUGACAGGUGUUGUGUGGCUGUUUUUACCUCACACACCUGCCCUUAAAAGGAAGCCGACGUGCAGCUGGAGGGAGAAGUGAGCUCAGCCUGAUGCAUUGAUCUUCUGAUGGUGUGGAAACUCUCUGGCUGUCUGGAAACAACUGAUCCAGUUCCUAAAAAAAAAAUAAAUGCAGUUUCACCUGCACUGACCCUGUA